AGCGCGGGUGCGAGUCGGAGGGUGCAAGCCCGUGGGCGAAGUGAAAGCGAGUUUAAAAACGAGCAGUUUGGGGCGGCAUAAGAUCGUUGAUCUUAAGACCGACCCAGAGCAGUUGCGCUGGGACCCGAAAGAUGGUGAACUAUGCCGGAGUAGGGCAAAGCCAGAGGAAACUCUGGUGGAGGCUCGUAGCGGUGCUGACGUGCAAAUCGCUCGUCGAACUUGGGUAUAGGGGCGAAAGACUAAUCGAACCAUCUAGUAGCUGGUUCCCUCCGAAGUUUCUCUCAGGAUAGCGGGCCGACAAGUUGUUUUGUGCGGUAAAGCGAAUGAUUAGCGCAUUCGGGGGCGUUUAGCCUUUGGGCGAUUCUCAAACUUUCAAUGCGCAAGGGUGCCGCUGCUUAAUUGAGCGGUACCGGUAAAAACGUCGGCCCUGUGGGCCACUUUUGGUAAGCAGAACUGGCGAUACGGGAUGAACCGUAAGCAAGGUUAAGGCGCCAAACUGCCCGCUUAUAGACCCCACAAAAGGUGUUGAUUCAUCGAGACAGCAGGACGGUGGCCAUGGAAGUCGGAAUCCGCCAAGGAGUGUGUAACAACUCACCUGCCGAAUGAAUUAGCCCUGAAAAUGGAUGGCGCUGAAGCGGGCGGCCGACACCUUGCCGUCUGAACAAGAAUUUCAGAUGAGUAGGAGGGCGUGGCGGCCGUGUCGAAGCGCGCGUGCAGACGCGUGUGGAACGGCCGCUAGUGCAGAUCUUGGUGGUAGUAGCAAGUAUUCAAGCGAGAUCCUUGAAGGGCGAAGUGGGGAAGGGUUUCACGCGAACAUUGAUUGGGCGUGAGUGAGUCGUUCCUAAGCCGAGUGGCAAUUGCUAAUUAACGGCGAAAGGGAAGCGGGUUGACAUUCCCGCACACGGAUGUGGAGGCGGCGACGCAUUAUUGGGGCGAACACGCUGGCGAUGGCGCUGGGCAGAGUUGUCUUUUCUGUUUGACCGCUUGCGCACGCAGUGUGGAAUCCGCUUGUCGGGAGAAACACGCGUGUACGGGCAGAGCGCUGGGGCUUUUCCAGCGUCCAGCUCGCCAUCGACGGCCCUUGAAACUUUGCCUGCUG
rnacentral:rRNA from 3 species